rnacentral:rRNA from 1 species
GAUGAACGCUAGCUACAGGCUUAACACAUGCAAGUCGAGGGGAAACGACAUCGAAAGCUUGCUUUUGAUGGGCGUCGACCGGCGCACGGGUGAGUAACGCGUAUCCAACCUGCCCAUCACUUGGGAAUAACCUUGCGAAAGUAUGACUAAUACCCAAUGAUAUCCCACGAAGGCAUCGGAAUGGGAUUAAAGAUUUAUCGGUGAUGGAUGGGGAUGCGUCUGAUUAGCUUGUUGGCGGGGUAACGGCCCACCAAGGCAACGAUCAGUAGGGGUUCUGAGAGGAAGGUCCCCCACAUUGGAACGGAGACACGGUCCAAACUCCUACGGGAGGCAGCAGUGAGGAAUAUUGGUCAAUGGGCGAGAGCCUGAACCAGCCAAGUAGCGUGCAGGAAGACGGCCCUAUGGGUUGUAAACUGCUUUUAUAAGGGAAUAAAGUGGGUCACGUGUGACUUUUUGCAUGUACCUUAUGAAUAAGGACCGGCUAAUUCCGUG